GACGUAGGGUGCAAGCGUUGUCCGGAAUUAUUGGGCGUAAAGAGCUCGUAGGCGGUUUGUCGCGUCUGCUGUGAAAUCCCGAGGCUCAACCUCGGGCCUGCAGUGGGUACGGGCAGACUAGAGUGCGGUAGGGGAGAUUGGAACUCCUGGUGUAGCGGUGGAAUGCGCAGAUAUCAGGAAGAACACCGGUGGCGAAGGCAGAUCUCUGGGCCGUAACUGACGCUGAGGAGCGAAAGCAUGGGGAGCGAACAGG
rnacentral:rRNA from 1 species